rnacentral:rRNA from 1 species
UACGUAGGGGGCAAGCGUUGUCCGGAUUUAUUGGGCGUAAAGAGCGUGUGGGCGGCCAGACAGGUCCGUUGUGAAAACUCGAGGCUCAACCUCGAGACGCCGAUGGAAACCGUUUGGCUAGAGUCCGGAAGAGGAGAGUGGAAUUCCUGGUGUAGCGGUGAAAUGCGCAGAUAUCAGGAAGAACACCCGUGGCUAAGGCGGGUCUCUAGUACGGUACUGACGCUGAGACGCGAAAGCGUGGGGAGCGAACAGG